rnacentral:rRNA from 1 species
CACGAAGUUAGCCGGGGCUUCUUCUCCGGUUACCGUCAUUAUCUUCACCGGCGAAAGAGCUUUACAACCCUAAGGCCUUCAUCACUCACGCGGCAUGGCUGGAUCAGGCUUGCGCCCAUUGUCCAAUAUUCCCCACUGCUGCCUCCCGUAGGAGUCUGGGCCGUGUCUCAGUCCCAGUGUGGCUGAUCAUCCUCUCAGACCAGCUACGGAUCGUCGCCUUGGUGAGCCUUUACCUCACCAACUAGCUAAUCCGACGCGGGUUCAUCCAAUGGCGAUAAAUCUUUCCCCCGAAGGGCACAUACGGUAUUAAUCCAAGUUUCCCUGGGUUAUUCCGUACCAUUGGGUAGAUCCCCACGUGUUACUCACCCGUCUGCCGCUCCCAUUGCUGGGCGCUCGACUUGCAUGUGUUAGGCCUGCCGCCAGCGUUCGCUCUGAGCCAGGAUCAAACUCU